rnacentral:rRNA from 1 species
AGAGUUUGAUCAUGGCUCAGAUUGAACGCUGGCGGCAGGCCUAACACAUGCAAGUCGAGCGGAUGAGUGGAGCCUGCUCCAUGAUUCAGCGGCGGACGGGUUGAGUAAUCCUAGGAAUUUCCUAUUAGUGGGGACAAACGUUUGAAAGGAACGCUAAUCCGCAUCGUCCUCGGGAGAAAGCAGGGGACCUCGGGCCUU